GGCAGUCGUCGGAGAGGGGAAGGGAAGAAGGUGGGUUAUAAAAAAGACAUCGAUAGCGUCAAUUUUUUUUAAAAUUUAAAUUUAUGAUUAAUUUUUUAGUUUGCAAAAUAUUAAAAAAAUUUACGAUCAAAAAAUCGAUCGUAAAAUACUUGAAUUAUUUUUUUUAAUCUAUAAAUAAUUUUACGAUCGAUUUUUCAAUCAC
rnacentral:lncRNA from 1 species